rnacentral:rRNA from 1 species
AGAGUUUGAUCCUGGCUCAGAAUCAACGCUGGCGGCGUGCCUCAGACAUGCAAGUCGAACGAUUAAAGCUCUCUUCGGAGAGUGCAUAGAGUGGCGCACGGGUGAGUAACACGUAAGUAAUCUACCCUCGAGUGGGGAAUAACGUCCGGAAACGGGCGCUAAUACCGCAUAAUGCAGCGGCAUCAUAAGAUGACAGUUGUUAAAGAUUUAUCGCUUGAGGAGGAGCUUGCGGCAGAUUAGCUAGUUGGUAAGGUAACGGCUUACCAAGGCUACGAUCUGUAACCGGUCUUAGAGGACGGUCGGUCACACUGACACUGAAUAACGGGUCAGACUCCUACGGGAGGCAGCAGUCGGGAAUUUUGGGCAAUGGGCGAAAGCCUGACCCAGCAAUGCCGCGUGAAGGAUGAAGUAUUUCGGUAUGUAAACUUCGAAAGAAUAGGAAGAAUUAAUGACGGUACUAUUUAUAAGGUCCGGCUAACUACGUGCCAGCAGCCGCGGUAAUACGUAGGGACCAAGCGUUGUUCGGAUUUACUGGGCGUAAAGGGCGCGUAGGCGGCAUGACAAGUCACUUGUGAAAUCUCCGGGCUUAACUCGGAACGGCCAAGUGAUACUGUCACGCUAGAGUAUUGGAGGGGCAAUCGGAAUUCUUGGUGUAGCGGUGAAAUGCGUAGAUAUCAAGAGGAACACCUGAGGUGAAGACGGGUUGCUGGCCAAAUACUGACGCUGAGGCGCGAAAGCCAGGGGAGCAAACGGGAUUAGAUACCCCGGUAGUCCUGGCCCUAAACGAUGAAUACUUGGUG